rnacentral:lncRNA from 1 species
CUCUUUCCUUUCAUUCUUCUCUCGCCAGCUUGGUGAAUGUAUUGUAACACUACUAAGAAGCCCUCUCAAGGGAUUCACCCAUCAGCCAUGGUCAGAGCUUGGUGAAUAUAUUGUAACACUACUAAGAAGCCCUCUCAAGGAAUUCACCCAUCAGCCAUGGUCAGAGGUGGGUCUAUGUCUUUCCUGAUGGCUGUUCUCUGUCUCAAGUGCUACCGCCACAUCUAGUACUUUUCAUACAGCUAUUGCUUUGAAGGGUUUUAAAACUAGGGCUCCAUAAGGCAUCACUGAGAAACUAUACUACAUCCCUUUUUUUUUUUUAAAGUAGAGGCAGCUAGACUAUGUAUUAGUGGAGUUCUGCUUGUAUUAUUUAGAGUAGUACUUGCACCAUGCUUGCAAUUGAGCAUCAAAUGGAUUGAUGUAUUUGACGUCAGUUCUCAGUAAUGUUUCCCUGUAGAUAUCCUGGAAGGGAUAAUGCCUUGAAAGGUCUUCAAAAGUCUCAGCUCAGCCUGUAGAUAGCAGAAAAGUCACUCAUGUAUCCUCUGGAGGGCCAUUGUCUCUGGAAUUUCUUUCAUCUGAGGAGACCCUGGCUUAUCCAGAUUCUCUUUGCAAGACACUGUGGCAGCAUCGCCAUGACAUCUUUGUCUCCCCUUGGCUAUUACCUCAGUGAGGUAAAUGCCAUCUCUGAUUACUCCUCACUAAACCCACCCUACACCUGCAGCUCCACAGCUGCUAUUUCCUACUAGGAUGGGCAAGUUUGCUUUUUAAUUAUCUCCAUGUUUCAAAAUUCACUCACUUCACAUGUCAUACAACAUUUCAAUAUGUGUGCAGUUAUAUGAUAAUGACUGAAGUUUGAUUUUUUUUCUAACAUUUCCAUCACCUCAAAAAGAUUCCUUAGUUUAAAAUUUUAAAAAAUUAAAUCAUUCUCAUUUAAGAGCACAAUGGAACAUAUAAUUAUAAAAUGACUACUGUGAGGUUAUUAUUUAAUUUGUCGAUUUUGUAGUUAGAGUAAUAUGCAGACAGCUUGUUUCUCACUGAGUUGACAACCUAUUGGGGUAGACUGUAGUGCUCAAAGUUUAUUUUUAAACCAUGGAGAUAGUUAGAGUUUUGACUGAAGUAUUUUUGCCUUGUAUCAGUAUGUCUGAAACUAAACAAGAUUUUUCUUACAAGAAGAAAAUUCAUAUCUGUACAGAAAAAGUUGUCCAAGCAGGCCUUUGAUACUGCUGAGAAAUUAGGCUAUUUUCUUUUCUGACCACUGAGGAGUCUAUUUGGAUAUAUAUGUGUGACGGUUUGUAUCUUCUUGGACCAGGGAGUGGCACCAUUUGGAGGUGUGGCCUUGUUGGAAUAGGUGUGACCUGUGUCACUGUGGGUGGGGCCUUAAGACCCUCACCCUAGGUGCCUGGAAGUCAGUCUUCCACUAGCACCCUUUGGAUGAAGACAUAGAUCUCUCAGCUCUGCUUGCCCCAUGCCUGCCUGGAUGCUGCCAUGCUCCCACCUUGAUGAUAACGGAUUGAACCACUGAACCUGUAAGCCAGCCCCAAUUUAAUGUUGUUUUUAUAAGACUUGCCUUGGUCAUGGUGUCUGUUCAUAGCAGUAAAACCCUAACUAAGACAAUAUGCAAGAUUGAAAGACUAAAACAAGCUGAUGAACAGAGACCAAUGUCCCCAUGGCAGCCUAACUAUCAGCUCUAGAGCUGGAAAUGUGGCCAAUUGGGGCAAGCAACAUCCUCAAACUAGGUCAUGACUUCAUAGAGACAGAGAAGACUCUUAUGUUUUCUCUAAUUGCUUGCUUUCUUUUCUUUCUUCCUUUCUUUCUUUCUUUCUUUCUUUCUUUCUUUCUUUCUUUCUUCCUUCCUUCCUUCCUUCCUUCCUUUCUUUCUUUCUUUCUUUCUUUCUUUCUUCCUUUCUUUCUUCCUCUUUUUUCCUUUCUGCUUGGCCUACAGUUCACUAUGUAGAUCAUGCUGGCCUCAGCCUUUGCAAUGAUUCUCCUGCCUCAGCCUCCCAAAUGCUAGGUUGACAACUAUGUAUGUGCCACCAUACCUGGAUCAUACUAUGUAUCUGCAAAUGAAAAUUUUAUUUCUGCCUUAGCUUUCCAGGAGUUUCCUAUCAAAGUACUUAAAACUCAUGUGUAAAAGAACUGGAAUUUAUUCUUCCACAGCUUUGAAGGUAGAAUUCUGAAAUCAAAGUGUGACCCUGGUUCUGUUCCUUCUAAAGGACAUCAGAAAGAAAGAAAGAAAGAAAGAAAGAAAGAAAGAAAGAAAGAAAGAAAGAAGGAAGGAAGGAAGGAAGGAAGAAAGAAAGAAAGAAAGAAAGAAAGAAAGAAAGAAAGAAAGAAAGAAAGGAAGAAAGAAAGAUAGAUAGAUUUUGGAAGCAGCAGCUGGAACUCCACGUUCAGCAGCAGUGCGUAUAUGUUUUCUGCCUCUGGCAUCAGCCAGUGUCCCCAGGUUGCUCUCUGACCUUUUGUAAUUUAAGUAUGCACAGACCCUUUUAUUAGAUGAAACCACACUCAAAGCAGGGAAUAGGAAGUCCACAUACCUUGUAGGGAAGUGUCACUCACCCACAAUGUACCACUCUAGGAAUCAUUCAUCGUGUCCACACUCCUCUGUUGAAGCCUGUGUGGACCUUCCUAUGUCUAAGAAUCCCGCAGGUUUUCUCUUCAGGAGACUGAGUUUUAUGACAUCAGGGUUUAAGAUGGCUGUGCAAUGCAACAGCAAAUCAUUUGUCUGUCAUUCUCAUGGCUCUGCGUGGGUUUCACCUCUAACACUG